rnacentral:snRNA from 1 species
GUAUAGUAGCAUGGCCCCUGCACUAAGGAUGACACGCUCAAUCAAAGAGAAGCUAUCAAUUUUU